UCUGCUUUUUUCACUUAAUAUAAUGUAUAUUUCAAAGCAUUCAUAACUGUAACUGAGAACUUAUUUUAAAUUACCCUUUAACGUAAAAGAUGGCAAGAGACGUCUUUAUAACACCAGGGGACCAUGGAGAUAAAAAGGGGUGCACAGGACCGCACCCACAUGUUCCCGGGUGGAGUCUGUACCACGAUUCCUCCCGGAAGUCAACAUGAGGGUCCGAACCCCAGUCCUCUGAUGGCUCGCCCCCAGGACGGUUUAAGAUGCUUUCAAUUGAAAGCUUUAGAAAUAUGUCUAACCCUUUCUUAUCAUUUGCAAUUCCUUUGCUUUCUGCUGGUUGAAAAGAAUGUGUAGGAGCCACAUGGACGGUGAGGAAGAGGAGAGGAGAAAGUAAGUACACUAGAGGAAGCACUGAACAGACACCAGCCGGUGCGUCAUUCUAAAUUUAUUUCCUAGCCCAUCCCAGCCCGGCAGCUGAGCUCUCAGCAAACUCCAGUGUUGGCUGGCUGAUCAGGCCUCUCUUCUACUGGAAGCAUUUCUUGCUGAAAUAGCAGCUGCACACGCCUCCCGCAGAGAAGGGAAAGACAGCCAGCCAGCGUGAAAAGUGGCCUGAAAGUUUAUUCAACUCCUGCGUCCAAAGGUUAUUCUGACUCUGCCAUUUUCUCUUGUUAAAUCCUCUAAAGGCCCAAACUAGUUGGAAAAUCCAGUUGAAUGGAAGUGACUUGGCCUGCGAUUCCGUGUUUUGAGAAUCAAGAUGGGAAACUGCUCCGUGAUCACUGCUAUCGCUUAGGAAAAACAGACGAAUGACAAGACCGCGUGCGUACCCUGGGUCAAACUCCUCCUUCGCUGGGCAUUCCUCAUGCUCACUGGAGACUCCAGUCACCGUCGCGUACCCCACAGACCUGCGCUGGUAUUCAGAGACGUCUCUGAGGGCCGCAAGAGCCUCAGAACAGACCCCGCCCUGCUCAUCUGCCUGUGAGCUCCCCGAGGGGGAGAGCUCGUCCUCAUGGCCCCGGCAGACAGUGCCAAGGAAAGAAGAUGCACAAGUUUUGUUAAUGAGACCCUGGACUUCUGUCAAACCCAAAGUCCCGAACGACAACUUUCACACUGAAAUAGCAAAUCAAGAUUUAAAGAACUUUUCCUGUUCAUGAGCCAAAAUUAUUUCUUUUAUCCACUGAUACAGGCAGAUUUUAAAAGCAGCCUGUUCAAUAAGGUCACCCAAAUGUCCUCCUGAGCGUGUGGCCAGGCCCUUCAAACUGUGGGGAGGGGUGGAAGCUAGUGUGCUAACAAUGUCAUGUAUCAGAGGGCCAAUUCAUAAAAUAUUUAUCCUAAAGCAUAAAAUGUGUCUGUCUGCUUGGUCAUUUAUAAAAUAAUAGUUUAGGGGAAUUAGGUACCAGCUAAAUCCCUUAGUCAACGUGGUUGGUUUCACCCAGAGUCCAUUAGACUAGGUUAUGUAUCUGCCGGGGAAGGCGCAGCCUGUCAGUGGUGCAUAAUGGAUCAUGAAAGAUAAGUGGAAUUAGGCAAUUGGAUAAUUGGC
rnacentral:lncRNA from 1 species